UACAGAGGAUGCAAGCGUUAUCCGGAAUGAUUGGGCGUAAAGAGCGUGUAGGCGGCCCGGUAAGUCCGCUGUGAAAGUCGGGGGCUCAACCCUCGGAUGCCGGUGGAUACUGUCGGGCUCGAGUACGGAAGAGGCGAGUGGAAUUCCUGGUGUAGCGGUGAAAUGCGCAGAUAUCAGGAGGAACACCUAUUGCGAAGGCAGCUCGCUGGGACGUUACUGACGCUGAGACGCGAAAGCGUGGGGAGCAAACAGG
rnacentral:rRNA from 1 species